rnacentral:misc_RNA from 1 species
UUUCCUUGCACUAAUAUUAGCAAAGAGAACUAUUCCAUAUUCUGUGUGACAGAAAGAGGAGGGAGUAAUGGAUCAUUCAUACACAGGAGGCAGCUGGACAAUGAUCCCCAACGUGCCAUCCCAUAGCAACUCCCCUGCUCACUCAAAUCAAGACCAAUUUUACAUCCACCAACAGUCCCAACAGCAGCAACAACAAUUCAAUCAAUUCCAACAGCAACAACAGCAGCAGCAAUUUCAACAGCAACAGCACCAAUUUCAGCAACAGCGUUUAAUUCAA